UACAGAGGUCCCAAGCGUUGUUCGGAUUCACUGGGCGUAAAGGGUGCGUAGGCGGUCGGGUAAGUCUGGCGUGAAAUCUCCAAGCCUAACUUGGAAACUGCAUUGGAUACUAUCCGGCUCGAGGAAUGGAGGGGAGACUGGAAUACUUGGUGUAGCAGUGAAAUGCGUAGAUAUCAAGUGGAACACCAGUGGCGAAGGCGAGUCUCUGGACAUUUCCUGACGCUGAGGCACGAAAGCCAGGGGAGCAAACGGG
rnacentral:rRNA from 1 species